rnacentral:lncRNA from 1 species
GUACAUUUUGUUCUGCUUUACCUGAGGUUUUCGUAUCCUAAAAUUAAGUCAAGUUUUAAUGGCUAAGAAUACUUUUCUUUAUAAUGUUCACUGGCUUGUGACUCGUAUGCUACUGUUCAUACUUAAUAAAACAAGUGCGCAAUACAAAUUAAAGAAAAGUUUCUCUACUGUGUAUUAAACUAAUUUGUAGAUAAAGGAUGGGGAAUUGUAUUACAAAGCAAAGGAAUCAUGGUUACGUAAGUAAUAACACUAUUCAAAUAGUGGGAUUUUAAUGUCCUUAAUUUUCGAGGCAUUCGCU